AAAGACGACGUCGAAUGACGGAGAAGGUUAAACGGGCCGGCCUGUAGUUGGUCGGUGAAAGGGCGUAGGGCAACUGAAACCCGAGACGAGCCCCUAGGGCGAAGUCGUUGAUACCCCGCUUCAAAUAAAAGCUCGACGUCGAGGCGCAAGCAACCGUACCGCAAAACCGACACAGGUAGAUGGGAUGAGUAUUCUCAGACGCUCGGGAAAACCGCCGUUAAGGAACUCGGCAUACUGACCCCGUAACUUCGGGAUAAGGGGGAGCCGCCGCAAGGCGGCCGCAGGUAAUCGGCUCAUACGACUGUUUAUUAAAAGCACAGGUCUGUGCCAAGUCAAAACGACGCAGUAUACAGACUGACGCCUGCCCAAUGCUGGAAGGUUAACGGGAGCGGUCAGCCGCAAGGCGAAGCUGCGAACUCAAGCCCCAGUGAAUGGCGGCCGUAACUAUGACGGUCCUAAGGUAGCAAAUUCCUUGUCGGGUAAGUUCCGACCCGCACGAAUGGUGUAACGAGAUGGGCACUGUCUCAAACGGCGGAACCCGGCGAAAUUGCAAUCGCGGUGAAGG
rnacentral:rRNA from 1 species